rnacentral:tRNA from 1 species
GGGCGUGUAGCUCAGAGGUUAGAGCGCGUCUCUGAUAAAGACGAGGUCGGAGGUUCGAUCCCUCCCACGCCCACCA